rnacentral:rRNA from 1 species
CCUGAGAAACCCAAAAGAUCGAAUGGGGAGAUUCAUUGUCAGCUCAUUUUGUAUAUGUAUCGAGUUACGAUGCGGGUUACUACUUGUAGUAUUGCCUGUACGUUCCUUGUGCAUUUAGUUGCAAGAUGUUGUCGGCGUGCACUUCUUCCCUAGUAGAACGUCGCGACCCAUUGAGAGUUGGUCUACGGCCCAAGUGGUAGCCUGUGAUGUUUAAAAUCAUUGCAGACCCUUGGUGUUUUCUGACCGACUACUCGGUGGUACACGUACGGUAUUAAGCCGCACAUUUAAUAUGCGUCCAUGCCCGUCGCAAGCGAGGCCAAUUUCUGGUAGUACGGACUUAGUGCUGUCGCUGGUAUUGGCCAGCUGUUGGUUGUACGGUGUUCUGGGACUGGCUUAAAUUAAUUACCGGUCGGCGAUGCUACUGCUUUGGGUACUUUCAGG